GGAGGGGAAAAAAUAGGCCAACCGAUUUGGCGGCACAAAGAGGUCAACCCUUGGGGUAAAAGUAAAUUUGCUUCUUUUUACCCCAAAUUUUUUUUACCGUGGGUAAAAAGACUCUUUCUUGGGGUAUCAAAAAAAACCAGAUUUAGAUUUACCUCAAGGAUUGAUAUCCUUUUGCCCCAAGCAGGUUGGUCUCUUUUUUCCCCAAC
rnacentral:pre_miRNA from 1 species